GACGAACGCUGGCGGCGUGCUUAACACAUGCAAGUCGAGCGGUAAGGCCCUUUCGGGGGUACGACGAGCGGCGAACGGGUGAGUAACACGUGGGUGACCUGCCCUCAGCUCUGGGAGUAAGCCUGGGAAACCGGGUCUAAUACCGGAUAUGACUCCAUGACGCAUGUUGUGGGGUGGAAAGCCUUGUGCGGCUGAGGAUGGGCCCGCGGCCUAUCAGCUUGUUGGUGGGGUGAUGGCCUACCAAGGCGACGACGGGUAGCCGGCCUGAGAGGGCGACCGGCCACACUGGGACUGAGACACGGCCCAGACUCCUACGGGAGGCAGCAGUGGGGAAUCUUGCGCAAUGGGCGAAAGCCUGACGCAGCGACGCCGCGUGAGGGAUGACGGCCUGGUGUAA
rnacentral:rRNA from 1 species